rnacentral:rRNA from 1 species
CCUACGGGAGGCAGCAGUGAGGAAUAUUGGUCAAUGGUCGGGAGACUGAACCAGCCAAGCCGCGUGAGGGAUGAAGGUACAGAGUAUCGUAAACCUCUUUUGUCAGGGAACAAAGGCGGGGACGUGUCCCCGGAUGAGUGUACCCGGAGAAAAAGCAUCGGCUAACUCCGUGCCAGCAGCCGCGGUAAUACGGAGGAUGCGAGCGUUAUCCGGAUUUAUUGGGUUUAAAGGGUGCGCAGGCGGUCUGUUAAGUCAGCGGUAAAAGCCCGGGGCUCAACCCCGGCCCGCCGUUGAAACUGGCAGUCUCGAGUUGGAGAGAAGUAUGCGGAAUGCGCGGUGUAGCGGUGAAAUGCAUAGAUAUCGCGCAGAACUCCGAUUGCGAAGGCAGCAUGCCGGCUCCACACUGACGCUGAGGCACGAAAGCGUGGGUAUCGAACAGGAUUAGAGACCCCAGUAGUC